UACGUAGGUGGCAAGCGUUGUCCGGAUUUACUGGGCGUAAAGAGCGCGCAGGCGGUCGUGCAAGUCGCGUGUGAAAGCCCCCGGCUCAACUGGGGAGGGUCACGCGAUACUGCUCGACUGAAGGCAGGAGAGGGAAGCAGAAUUCCCGGUGUAGUGGUGAAAUGCGUAGAUAUCAGGAGGAAUACCGAUGGCGAAGGCAGGUCUCUGGGCUAUAACUGACGCUCAUGCACGAAAGCGUGGGGAGCAAACGGG
rnacentral:rRNA from 1 species